ensembl:lncRNA
GGGGACUGGAGUUGGGAAACCCUGGUUUAGUACGCCCAUUUAUACUGUUGUAGAAAACCGUAAUCUACAAUUGGAUUAUUGAUCUGAAUAUCAAAGCCAAUAAGGAAAUUGCGAUCUGGCCAAGCCCAUAGUUUCUAGGACACUACCACAACAGUACAAUUAGUGCUACUUCGGUUCCUUGCUGAGAAUAAUACUGUAUAACAUCUGUGGGCAUGCUGUAGUGUUUAGCUGGAGAAAGGGGUUUGUGUAGCAUUCACACAAUGCUUUGAUGUUGCCCUGAAUGCUGAUAUAAACUUGUUAUGGUAACAGUUUUGAUUGAACCAGCUUUCAAUUGCAUUUCCUUCAUUUCCAUAUUUCUUUUUACACAAACUUUUGUCAAAAUGGGAUUGUAGUAAAUGCAGAGUGAACACAUUGCACAUAUAAAAUGAGGAACAAAAUAAAGUGCCUUUUUUUUUCCAUUAUAGUCCUUUGUGCCAAAAUAGUUUAAAUGAAACGCAAUGUACUUAGGAAUUUAAAUACACAUUUAUCCCCCCACCAACACAAACAUACAAGUUUUUUUGAAAUGAUUUUGAUUUGAAUUUCAUUUUAAUCUGCAGGUCCUUCCCCCCAAAAACUUGACACUUCCUAGAUAUAAUAAACUGCACAUCACUAGUCUUGCUAGAUGAACAUGUUUUGCAAAUACAUUUCAUUUUCAGAAGUAAUGCAAUUAAAUGAAUGCAAACAGGACAGAAACACUCCACUGAUUGGACAAAAUACAAACCAUUGUGCAUUUAUAAGGCAAAUACAUGGAGGUUGGUUUCAACUAGGCAUUUCAUUACCAUUCAGCAGAAAAAUAAAUCACACGAUCGUAAAUCUUGAAACCCUGUCCUAUCUAACGUGUUUGUCCAGAGUUCAUGCUUAUCACAUUUUCUGAUUUCCCCCAAAAAACAUUUCACUUCAGUCUUCCUGGAGAUUUUGCAUAUUUUACCACUGCACAGAUCCUGAUUUCAGGUGAUAAGGUGUAAGUAGUCAAAUGGUAAAUCUGGGCUCCAGUUGAACUGAGAUUGAAUGUGAUCACUACAUUUGUAUUGAAUAUUCAGUUGCAUUGAGAAGAGAAACAUCUAAGCAUUUUUCAACUGCAAUUUAUUUAGCAAAUCUUGCUUUUAAAAUGUAGACUCAUCAUGAAAAUGCAUAGAAAAAGCAUUCACAUGUGCCUUGCUAACAUGUUCUGAUAGAAAAGGCCAUCAGAAAGUGCUUUAAAUGGUUUGGUGGGAAUUCUCAUUUAAGAUGUGCUUUAGGUAAAUCAUGCAAACCUCCCAUACAGUUAAAAUUAUAUCAGCUACCUAGCCCAUAAACUUCUCUUUUCCUUGCCUUGUGCCGCCAGUAGAAGAUAUUAAGUGUGAUAUUGACUGGCUGUUCUGAGCCUACAGUGUGAUAAAACACAGACUGUAUGUACUCAUGAAGGGAAAGUAUUCAGGAUGAGAUCUUAUUCAUUGUGUUAUGACUGCGCUUCAGAUAGGAUAUCACGAAAUGACCCAAGAGGUUGGCAACUAUGGGUCCCUGGACCAUAUUCAAAAUAGAUCUAUUGCAAUUAAAAUAAGAAAAUAUGGUUUAUAGUAUACAACAGUCGACAUUGAGCACUGCAACUGACUAGCUGUCAAAUUCUUUUAAAUAUUCUGUUUUGACUUUUUUCUUACAGGACUGAUCUUACAGUAAUGAAAGUGUUGGAGAUUGAGUAUGAUGUGGUUGGUGGUAUACUUCAAGUAUAUGAAGGGUUUAUUGAACAGCGCCAAGUCUUUUCAAAAGAUUCUUCCCUUUGAAGAGCAGACCCUUCUUUUUGGAGGACAUGUCGCAGGGGCCCCUGAUGGGACUGCCAGGCCCUAUGGUACAAGGGCCAGAGCCGGGGAUGUGUUGGUGCACUGUGGGGGAGGUGGUUCUUCUGGGCGGACCCGAUUUUUCCAAUGGAACCUAAUGGGAGACCCGUAAGGGACAGUUCAGGGGGGUUAAAAAGCCAGCCCUCUCGCACCUCCGUCACUACUCCCCUCCACUCAGUCCUUUGUCCCCAGGCCACCACACCUUUGGCUUCAUCAGUCUAUCUCUCUCAUAGCACAGCCCCGUUCAACUUGUCAGAGCUCGGAUGACUGUGCACUCUUUCAUCAAGCUGAUUUCAAUACCGGAGGAUAUGUCCACAUACUAUAGCUCUUUUUAACAACACAUUUUAUGCUGAGAUUCUCCAAAAUGGCUAUCAAUAGCAAAGGCCAUGCCUUUCACAAACAAAAAAAGAGAUACAAUAUUGUAUUAACAUAAUGGGACAACAUAUUACAGCGUUUUUUUCUUUUUAAAUAUCAAGGGCAUUCAUUCAUGACAACUGGGUUACAGUGAAACAUCUAAUAUCUAAAUAUUCCUUAAUUGUAAUCAUGAGCUAAAAGGCUUCCUUUAAAUUGCACUUGGAAAUAUGUAUUUUUAAGACCCCAUUAAAGGAGAAUUUCAGUAAUUUAAGAGUUGAUGUCACAUUAGAUGGUUCCACAGCCUGAAGUUAGUCUAUGGGCCAAGUGAAAGUGCAUCCAUGGUUCAGAUUUCAUUAAACAGCCAAUACAAACUUCCGCUAACUUUAUUUGGAUGUAGGCUACAGCAUUCUCUGUUCAAAUGUAGAAUAUAUUGUAGUAAAAGGAGUAGAGCACAGUCUAUGCACAUUGCAUUGGAGCAAAACAAGUGCAACUAUGGCAAACAACCAGGCGUUUUAGGCUUAGCUAUUGUGACCUUGGGUGAUCACUGCUGUUACGUCUGGUUAUGCAUCCUAGAAACAUUUAUCAAAGUCAACAUUGUUCUGCGGAAUAAUUUAGACCACAGUACCACUAGCGGGACAUUUAAUCUAUGUUUUAUGAAUACAAAAAUCCCACACCCUCAUGCCAUAACAUUUAUCCUCUGUCAAAACAUUCUAGUCAAUAUUCUGACAGUUUGUUGCUAAGCUAAAGUGGCAUAUUUUGGUAUUUAUCUAUUUUUUCCCCCCAAAAGUGUUGUAAUCUGCUUUUGAAAUCUGACACAUGUAGGGGUUCAGUUAAUAGAUGGUGCUUUUGAAAAUUUUGCCUGAUUUAUAUACAUAAAUGUUAAUUGCUAUUGCUAUUACAGUGUUGUGUUGUCAAAAUUAAAACAGGAAAAUGUUGCAUAGCUGUUCAACAACACAUUUGUAGAGACUGAUCUACUAUUCUUUUUUAAUUUCUGCAUCUACAUCAUUUUGCUGAAUAGACUGUUACAUUUAAAUUUACACUGUCUUGCAUGUUUUUUAAAUGCUGCCUAAAUAGACUGCCUGUUUGUUUUUAAUAGACUACUGUUGACAACAGACACAUUUGUUGUAGCCUACAACAUGCCGAAGUGUAUAGAGUAUGGGGAGAAAUGAGUGGUAGACUUCACAUAGCUGCAGUUAUUUCUGACGUUAAUAAAUAUGAGGCUGGAUAUGAUCUACAACAUGUCAAUCAAAUCAUCAGUUAAGAGAUAAACGUAAAGUAGAUAUGCAUGAAAAAUGAAGGGAAAAGGGAGACAAACACAUGCACAGAACCUCAUCUGAACGAUGGAUUGCCAUUUCUCUUGGCUUUUUUCAGGGCAAGGAACUAUCAUGAAAUGAUAGUUUAACAUGAGCCUCUAGUCUCUAAUCCUGUAGUAUAUAGCUACAGUAACACAUCCAGAUCUAUACACGGGUAAUAUUAUUCUGCACAUUGAAUAUAGGUUUUGUAAUGUAGAGGGGGUAAAUGUUUAAAUUUACAGUUUUUGAUACAAUUAAUCAGUUUUCAUCAAUGUCUUCUAUGUAGAUGGCACCCAGCUUUAAAAAAGUUGUAUUUAC